CAGGCGGAGAACAUCGGAAGUUUGCGAAGUAAACGCUCAGUAGCCUAAACGCUGUCAUUUAACCAAGCCUUUGUCUGUUUGUUGGAUUUCACUGAUUUACGGAUAUACUGCCUGUUUCGGAUUCCGAUUUCCUGGCUAGCCCCGUUUGGAUUGUUCGCCUGGACUUCGUCUGUUUUUUCGGAUCUCGUCUUCAAUUUGAUCCUCAUCUUCCUGUUACUGCACCGCCCGUGCUUGUCUCCUCACGAGGUAACAUAACAGGUGGUGGCUAAAAUAGCCAAGCUGGCAAAGCAAACCAAGAUCAAAAAGACAGCCAGGGACCAGAUGUUACAAAACCUAAAGACUUCCCUUUCUCAGAACAGGACCCUAGCCACACAAUAUCACCACACCAGUUCUGAGGAUGAAUUUCCACAACGUCAUGGUAUUUUUUUCCACUCCUGAUAAUCACACCAGUUCUGAUGAUGCCACAAACAUGGGGAGCCCACAACAUCCUGGCAUUAGCUGGAUACUGCAAGUAGAGCACUGUCCAUGGCGUAAUUUUAGGAGGACGGCCACUGUGGCCUUGAUUAGUGGAAUUAUGGCUUGUUCAAUACCUCCUAAUUACUGCUGCAACUGUGUUUCUUCUGAGUUUUAGUUGGUCACCAUUCUUCCUGUAGCCUUUUCCACCUUUUUGAAGUCUCUUCUACCAGAUUUUUCACUUCCUCUGGUAGUUCUUUUCAAUGUGGAGCCAUGAUGCAGACAUGCAGAUAGACGCAGCCAAUAGGUCCAAAAUUGAGAAAGUUCCGGUGUUCACAGGUCAUUUUAUAACCAUAUUCAUGUAAUUAGGAUAACUGGAAUUCACAGGUGUAAUCAAUUUAGUUUCAGUGAUAACAGGUUUUCUAACUUGUAUGUCAGUGAUCACAGGUGUAUUCACUUUUGUUGCAUUUAGUUUGUACUUUCUAAAGUAUUUGUUUUUGACUGUUAUAAGAGAAUUCUAAAUGUUAAACAUUUAUGAAUAAUUUUAUAUUUACAGUGCUCUCCAUUAAUAUUGGCACCCUUGGUAAAUAUGGAUUUUGUGGUCAGUAAACCAUUUUUGUGUUGAUUUUGAUGCAAGUUAUAUUGCGAUGUUGCACAUGGGUGUACUCACUUCUGUUGCUUACUGUAUAUGUUCGACUAUGUACUGGAAGCAAUAUUGACAUGCCAUACUCCUCACUUAUCCUGAUUUACUGUUCAAAAAUAGCAUUGGUUCAGUACAGGAUUUAGACAGACUAAUGUAGUGGAAACUGAAGAAAAAAGUUGUAUGAACAUGCCAUCUGAACAUGCUGUUCUUUACAAGUUUCCGUAGACAACUGCCUCUCAUGUGUGAGCGGCCAUCAGAUGCAAGUGAAAUAAUGAGCAGUUCAGCCAGAAAAAGGAGCAUAAUGUGUAAUUUGUGUAUAUAGGGUCAGUAUGGGUGUUGGUGCAAUAUUUUUUAGUGUUCUUUUAAUAAAAAGCAUUUUUCAGUUCUUUUCGUUCGAUUUUAAAAUGCUGGAAACAUGUAACGUUUAAAUAAAAACUCUUCAUUAGUGAUGUUAUUUAUUUUAAUGGCCUUGAAAACAAGUGCAUUCAGCACUGGGAAAAAUUCCCCAAAGUAAUUCCUUUAGUACACUGGUAGUAUAGCUAAGUAAUAAAGUAUACUGUUAUUGAAUA
ensembl:lncRNA